UGGGGAAUAUUGGACAAUGGGCGAAAGCCUGAUCCAGCCAUGCCGCGUGUGUGAAGAAGGUCUUCGGAAUGUAAAGCACUUUAAGUUGGGAGGAAGGGCAGUAAGCGAAUACCUUGCUGUUUUGACGUUACCGACAGAAUAAGCACCGGCUAACUCUGUGCCAGCAGCCGCGGUAAUACAGAGGGUGCAAGCGUUAAUCGGAAUUACUGGGCGUAAAGCGCGCGUAGGUGGUUCGUUAAGUUGAAUGUGAAAGCCCCGGGCUCAACCUGGGAACUGCAUCCAAAACUGGCGAGCUAGAGUAGGGCAGAGGGUGGUGGAAUUGCCUGUGUAGCGGUGAAAUGCGUAGAUAUAGGAAGGAACACCAGUGGCGAAGGCGACCACCUGGGCUCAUACUGACACUGAGGUGCGAAAGCGUGGGGAGCAAACAGG
rnacentral:rRNA from 1 species